CCUAAAGUACCCUAAACCGAGCGGUCGAACAGGAACAACAAAGCGGAAACCAAGCUCGCUUCGGCUUCCGCCUUCGCCGCCGCCUCAAUCAACUCAACCAUGGCCACAACCCCCACCGCCGUGGGAGCACCCCCGGCAGUACCGCCCGGCGUGUUGUCCGCAGCCGAGGACACGCUCGCGGCGACCGAGUCCGUGGGGGACCAACUCGCCGAGCUGCUCGCUGCAGCGGCCGAGGACCCCGACGCCAUAGCCGAGCUCCCGCCUCUGCGUCGCGCACGCGCCUUCCUCGCUGUAGCUCAUGCCGCCACCUCCCUCCUCGCAGUGCGGCUGAGGUGUUCGGGGAUUAAUCCGGACGAGCACCCUAUCAAGAAGGAGUUCGAAAGGUUAAGCUUGUGGCAGGAGAAGUUAAAUCGUUUAGAGGACUGGGACAAGGCACCACUGCGUCCUACCACCACUGUGAAUACUCAAGCAGCAGCAAGGUUCAUUGGCCAUUCGUUGUCCCAUUUGACAGCUGACCAGAAGAAGAGCAUGCAUGCAAUCAGUAAAGGGGAAGGAGGGGCCUGGUCUGGGAAGAAGAGGAAGAUGCAGCCAUUACCAGAGAGGAAGUCAGUUCGUGCCGCUGCAGAAGAGUUCCUUGCAAAGGCUUCUCAGGAGCUUAGUGGGUACAAUGGCAAUGGGUUGAAAGGCCCUGUUAGACUUGUUCCCGAUGAAGAUGAGGACUAGAUUGAUAUAUUAGUCCUGUGAAGCUCUCAGGUGAUCAAACAUGGUCACCACCUUGAAGACUGAGGACGAGGAAAUGGGCCAGGCGGCCAGCAACAGGAGCCCAGAGGCAGAGCAGAAUAUCUGUGGGCCGAUGGCCAAGGUUGGCAAAAUGCAUGUCAGUGAGAGUCCGGGAGCAGCAUACACGCAUGUGUUGGCCAAGGCAGGCAUAGCAUAAAAAUAGAUUUUGAAGAAUAGUUACACCGAAUCACCAAUAAGAGGGAAUAAUUUAUUACCCUGGAGAUCUAAUCAGACACAGAAUGGUCAACCAGAAACAUCGGAGAGGGGGAACUACACCACACGAUCCGUGGGGAUAUCAAGGGAACAUACCAGAAGUCAGGAAGAUGCUAGUUCUUGUCAAGCUUCCGGGUGUUUGCAAGACCGAUGCAUCAACAUUGGCUGUGGCAACUUCUUAUUGAGUUCUUCCAGAACAUCUUUGUCUUACACAUCAACAAGAACACCACAGUUGGCAGUGGCAUGCAGCAAGAAGCAGCAGAGAUAGCCUAGCGCAGCAGCAACAGCGCAGAUGAUUGCAUCACCGGUGGCAGUGGCUGGUCCAGGACAUAAAGUGAUGCACCCAUGUACACAAGAAAUAGCUUAGCCUGGGAUCCCAUGUUCGGAGAUGGAAUCGGUCACUGGGAAGGAAUUGCAUGUAGAUACAUGUGAGACAGGUAGGUCAGAAUAUCUCUGCUCCGGUUUGUUUUGCACGGUUGGAAUGUCCCAAUCCUUUCAUUAGGAGUUUGGAUUAGUGAGAAAACCUGUCAUAAGUUUGCACACAGAAAUUCAGGGGAUAUUCUUUGAGAAGAGGAAGGUCCUAUCUGUGCAUGAAAGGAAGUCAACUCUGAGAAGAACCCCAUGGAUGGCCACAGCACGAGGAUGACUGUAUAUCCGAUCUUUGUGUGCAUGCAACUGCAAGACUAUGAGUGCACUUGUUCCUUUCUAGCUUUCUCAGCAUGCUUCUAUUUCAUUAUGCUUGUUCUGAGGUGCCACCAAAUGUUUUAAUCGUAGCGUCAACAUCUCUGCUUUAGAAUGAGUAGAAGGGCCAGCAGCAGCAGAGCAGAGUACCUGCAGGAACAAUGGCUGUUCACUUGUCUGCGCUGUGGCAAGAGUCCAGGAUCAUAAGUGCAUGUGUUGUCAGGGCAGGCAGCAGCAGUAGUAGGAAUAGCUAGCACUGUAAGCGAAGAAUAGACUGAGGAGACCUUCUCAGACAAAGUAAGAAUCAGCCAGAAACAUACCCAGACAAGAUAGCUGGUGCAAGCAUCAUCCAGGAGGAUAUCAAAGAAACAAGCUGGAGUAGAAGAUUUGCAUAUGUGUUGGUGCGUGUCAAGUAUAAAAAGGCGGGAUCCUUUUCUUAUCUGGAAGAAGCUAGUUUUUGUAAUUUGCACAUCAGAUCAUGAUGCAGCAUGAGCUUUUGGGAGUUUGCUGGCCCGGUGCAUCUAUAGCUGCUGUUGGCAACCUCGUUUUGAGUUAUUAUAUGCAUGCUGGAACAUCUUCCACAGCAACACAGCAGCGGCAGCACUGCAUGAAGCAGCUUAGGUAGGUGCAGAGAGGCAGCGGUGAUAAGUAUGCAGUCUAGCUCAGCAUCAACGGCAGAUAUGAGUGCGACAACAGUGGCGGCGGCUGUGAUCAUAAGUCAGAUAUGGAAUCACCAUUGGAAAGAAAUUACAUACACAUGUGAACAUACCUUUUUCUGCUGUUUGUUUGCACGGUUGGAUCCUUCCAUUCGGAGUUCGGAUUGGAGAGCAAACUUGCUGUAAGUUUGCACUUUGCACACGAGAAUUUAAGAGAUAUUCUUGUGAUACAGGGAUGGUCCUGUCUCUGCAUAGAAGGAGGGCAACUCGGAAAGGGACAUGAUGUGUGGCCACAAUGCCGCGAUAACUCCAUUUCCUGUUUUUGUGCUCAUGCAACAAUAAGACCAGGACUGCAAUUCUUCCUUUCUCAGCAUGCUUCUCUUUCAUUAUGCAUGUUUGGGUGGGCUACAAAGGUCUUCAACUGUGGCCACCACUUUACAGCUCGAGGGUAAGGAGGGCCAGCAGCAGGAGCGCAGUGGCAUAGAAGAAUAUUACGGGAAUGACAAUCAACAUACAUGUGCACUGCAGCAAGAGUACAUGAUCAUGCAUGUAUGUUUCAGCCAUGUCGUGCAGCGACAGGAAAAUGGAGUCCAGGCAACUUUAGGAAAACAGAGUCCGGAGGAAUAGCUAUGGCAAUAGUAUGGAUAAACAGAUAAGCCAGGAAAUCUACUUGGACAAAGAACAAACCAGGAAUAAACAUAGUCGGAAGCGAGUUUGUAUCGAAGGAAACGAGCCAGAAGAUUUGGAUUGGGCUGUGCGCAUUAAUUUCAAAGGAAAUCUGGGUUCUUAUCAGAAAGAUGCUAGGUCUUAUUCUUUGUGCAACACGAGCUUUUGGGAGGUUGCACAGCUGUGCCAUCUACAUUCUUCCAUGGUUGUUAUAUUGAUUUACUCUCUUGUCUUUGGGAGCAUUACUCCUUUUCAUGCCAAUAACAAUUAACAACAACAGAGUUGGUGGUACAACACAGCAAGAACGAGCAACGGAGGCGCAGUGAUUCCUUCUUUGUCAUCAAAAGCACUGCAUAGAUGCCUGGGAGAGGCACACUUGGGAGUGGCACACGUUGUAAAACGCCUCAGUCUAUCCUGGGUCUGGGAGCAGUGCCUUUCUGCCGAAGGCACUAAGGCAGCAGCCCACCUUCUUGGCUGACAUUGUUAAAGACAAGAAAGUAGAAACGAAACCAAAAGGCAAAAGAUGCUCAAAUGCUUAGUAUCGUAGUGCAGUGGUCCUAGAUCUCAUCCAUGGUUCAGGUGACAUAGUAUCAUGUCAGAUUGUCAGCUACAAGGGAAAAAGAGAGAUUUACUCCAACUUGAAGUGCUUCCUUCUCAUAGAAGCUCACCAUCCUCUCUGCAGCCCUUCUCCAGUUGCAGCUGGAAAGUAAAGUUUCCUAGCUGGUCUGAACCCGAACUUGGGAAUCAUUCUGAAUUAUACUCAACUAUAAUUAUCACCUAACUAGUACAGAAAUACCUAUGUUGAUGUUUUACGCCUGAUUUCUCGGGAGCAGGCUUCUUAUGUUGCUCCAUCUGCCUCAGGCUAUCUAAGAACCUAGUACCAGCUAGCACCUGAAGUGGCUUCCACAUUUGACUGCAGUGGGGUUUCCACGAGGAAAUUGAAUACGCUGCUAAAGAGUGGUAGAUGAAAUGGUAGAUUGGCAGCUGACUUGCCUUGGAUGAUGAUGAAAAUAUUGCUCUCAGUUGUGCUCUGGUGUACAUGGCAAGAUGGAAUGAUAGCUUCAAGAAAAUCACAGAAGCUUCGGGAGCAAUGGCCUCAAUCCUGCAAUCCUGUCUAUCUUAUCUGAGAGCGUAUUUCAAACUUUUUGACUAUUUUGUUUCCAUUAUGUGGUUUCUGCGGUGUAACAUCACUGGAGUUUGGUAUGUAUAUGUAAACACUAGUUGAAUAUUUUGCAGAAGAUUUGGGAUCUGCAACCUAGUGGAAUAUUGUGACCCUUUUAAGGUUUAGCAAGGGCUUUGUGAAUUUUGAUGGAUGAACUCUGUUUACAGGCUUUGCCUUUUCACCCGAU